rnacentral:rRNA from 1 species
AACGAACGCUGGCGGCGUGGAUGAGGCAUGCAAGUCGAACGAGAGUCAGAGCUAUAGCAAUAUAAUUCUGACGAAAGUGGCGUAAGGGUGAGUAACGCGUGAGUAAUUUACCUUCAAGUUGGGCAUAACCUUGCGAAAGCGGGGAUAAUUCCGAAUGUGGUAGCUCCGGGCAUCCGGAGCGAUCUAAAGGCGGGGAUCGUAAGACCUGUCGCUUGAAGAUGAGCUCACGUCCUAUCAGCUUGUUGGUGAGGUAACGGCUCACCAAGGCUUACGGGUAGCUGGUCUGAGAGGAUGGUCAGCCACACUGGGACUGAGACACUGCCCAGACUCCUACGGGAGGCUGCAGUCGAGAAUCAUUCGCAAUGGGCGCAAGCCUGACGAUGCGACGCCGCGUGCAGGAUGAAGGCCUGGUU